rnacentral:rRNA from 1 species
UACGUAGGCAGCGAGCGUUGUUCGGAAUUACUGGGCGUAAAGAGUGUGUAGGCGGUGCUCCAAGUCUGGUGUGAAAUCUCCCGGCUCAACUGGGAGGGUGCGCCGGAAACUGGAAUGCUAGAGGGUGGGAGAGGUAAGCGGAAUUCCUGGUGUAGCGGUGAAAUGCGUAGAUAUCAGGAGGAACACCUGUGGUGUAGACAGCUUACUGGACCACUUCUGACGCUGAGACACGAAAGCGUGGGUAGCAAACAGG